rnacentral:rRNA from 1 species
UGGGGAAUCUUGCCCAAUGGGCGAAAGCCUGAGGCAGCAACGCCGCGUGUGGGAUGACGGCCUUCGGGUUGUAAACCACUUUCAGCAGGGACGAAAAUGACGGUACCUGCAGAAGAAGCUCCGGCCAACUACGUGCCAGCAGCCGCGGUAAUACGUAGGGAGCGAGCGUUGUCCGGAUUUAUUGGGCGUAAAGGGCGAGUAGGCGGUUAGGUAAGUCGGGUGUUAAAUCUCCAAGCUCAACUUGGAGCUGCCACUCGAAACUACCUUGACUUGAGUCUGGUAGGGGAACACGGAAUACCUGGUGUAGCGGUGAAAUGCUUAGAUAUCAGGUGGAACACCAGUGGCGAAGGCGGUGUUCUGGGCCAGUACUGACGCUGAAUCGCGAAAGCGUGGGGAGCAAACAG